rnacentral:lncRNA from 1 species
GGAGGGGAAUCACCCUGCCAGCAGCACAGGGCAGCAGCCCGCUCCCACCCUGGGCAGGGUGAUUCCUCGGGUCGUUGGGGGACCUGUGGGCCUCUGUGAGGGGCAGAGCUGUGCUCUGUGUGCAGCACCACCUCCACGCACUCCUGCCCUUUUCUCCUUUUUCGCUGAAAGGUGAAGGGCAGAGACUUUGACACAGUAACAGGGAGGGGUGUAAGGUGAGCGUGCCUGCAGAAAAGCUGUUAGCUUUCUUCCUAGUCCUGGAGCAGUCCUCUCCAGUAUGCUGCAGUUGGCUGAAGCUGCACUGCCAGGUUAGAGGUUUUUCCAUCACACCGCGUGAGCUGGUAGGAGUUGUUGGGUCUGCACUGCUGUGGACAUUGAGAAGCACAAUCUCUCCUCAGAGUUUCAUAAAUCUGUCAGGAAUUGGUAAGGAAGAUGGGGAUGUGAUGCCCCUUCCCGCUGACUGUGGGACGUGAAAUCAAACAGAAGAAGGCACUGAAGGAGAAAGCAUCGCACUGAAGGGUGUGUUUGAAUGAAAGUGCUUCCUCUUGCUUUACCUUCACUGCACAAGUUCUGCAUUAUUUAAUUGCAAAUUAAAGAAUGAGAGGAGCAGCGUUGGGCAGA